AAAUAAAAAUGUGUGACAGUGAUCACAGUGAUGAAAAUAUGUUGCCCACUACUCCUCAGGAAAUAUUAAAGCCUUUUCCGUUUAUGUUGUUCCGUUGUUUGCUAUUUUGACAACUUGAAAAGUUUUAUCGGCAGUUUGCGUGUUAUUACUGUGAAGUGUUUGGCCAAACCGCCGCUACCACUUUUGAAAGGAUGCCACCCAAAAAUCCAAAAAUUCGCUCGAACGCAGCACAAAUUAGAUUGCUCGUUGAAUACAUGUCACAGCACACCCGGUUCGCCAACCGGGAAUUUGACGGGCCUCUAAGGACCCCAGAGGUACGAGGCGCAAUGGGAGGCCCUUGCACAGGCCUUAAGGGAGCACGGGCCCAAUAAGUCAGUGCAGGCAUGGAAAGUGGUGGGCACCUGCUCCCCGCUGGCGACACCCUUGCAGAAGCUAGCAUUUUCAGAUAUAUUUACUUUUUAAGUUUUUGGUUUGGUUUAACCGGAAUUAUUUUUACCCGACUAUGAGAAUGGGAAGGGUUAUGAUUUUAGCAGUCUACGUAUGGAUGCCGUAUAUAUGCCGGUAUGUUUUUGUUGUGUAUAAAUUACUAAUCAAUUUUGGUGAAUGAGGUGUUUAUAGGUUCAUUUUUAUGGGGUGACAUAGACUACAUAAUAAUAUUUAACUGACUUUGGACAAGGAAGAGGUGCUUUAGUUAAGAAAAAAAUCAUAGUCGGGUAAAAGUUUUUACAAUCUUUUGCUUGUUUUCAUUCUUAUAACAAAUAUUUUAAACUUGCAUGUGCUCAUUGCCUCAGAUUGACGACUACGUUGAGUUUUCGGGUGCUGGGAACAGUGUGGCUGGCAGCACGUUUUCUGCCACUGCUGAAAAUCUCGUUGUUGUUCCAACAACCGCCACCGUUACUGCGGCCUUGCUCAGCGAACAACCCCACUUCUCCACCUCUCAUUUGUCCUCGUCUCCCUCUCCUUCUGCCAGCCCUAUACGCUCCACGCAUUCAGUACUGCCCACAAGUCCUGGACUACCCGAACGUCCCUCUCUUGCCGCCCUUUCCGCCCGCUAUGCCCGUCCCGCCCUUCUCGCUCGUUCCGCAAUAACCGCCCAACCCGCACGUCUUGUCCUGCCUGCACGUCAAGUACACAGCUCUGUGUACGUGGAUCCGCGUCCUGCACG